UACGAAGGGGGCUAGCGUUGUUCGGAAUCACUGGGCGUAAAGCGCACGUAGGCGGGUUCUUAAGUCAGGGGUGAAAUCCCGAGGCUCAACCUCGGAACUGCCUUUGAUACUGGGAAUCUUGAGUUCGGGAGAGGUGAGUGGAAUUGCGAGUGUAGAGGUGAAAUUCGUAGAUAUUCGCAAGAACACCGGUGGCGAAGGCGGGUCUCUGGGCCGAUACUGACGCUGAGGAGCGAAAGCGUGGGGAGCGAACAGG
rnacentral:rRNA from 1 species